CGGCGUGCUUAACACAUGCAAGUCGAACGAAGCAAUAUGGUGGAAGUUUUCGGAUGGAAAUGAUAUUGACUGAGUGGCGGACGGGUGAGUAACGCGUGGGUAACCUGCCUCAUACAGGGGGAUAACAGUUAGAAAUGACUGCUAAUACCGCAUAAGCGCACAGUGUCGCAUGACACAGUGUGAAAAACUCCGGUGGUAUGAGAUGGACCCGCGUCUGAUUAGCUAGUUGGUAAGGUAAUGGCUUACCAAGGCGACGAUCAGUAGCCGACCUGAGAGGGUGAUCGGCCACAUUGGGACUGAGACACGGCCCACACUCCUACGGGAGGCAGCAGUGGGGAAUAUUGCACAAUGGGGGAUACCCUGAUGCAGCGACGCCGCGUGAGUGAAGAAGUAUUUCGGUAUGUAAAGCUCUAUCAGCAAGGAAGAAAAUGACGGUACUUGACUAAGAAGCCCCGGCUAACUACGUGCCAGCAGCCGCGGUAAUACGUAGGGGGCAAGCGUUAUCCGGAUUUACUGGGUGUAAAGGGAGCGUAGACGGCAUGAUAAGUCUGAAGUGAAAGCCCGGGGCUCAACCCCGUGGACUGCUUUGGAAACUAUCAAGCUGGAGUGCAGGAGAGGUAAGUGGAAUUCCUAGUGUAGCGCUGGAAUGCGUAGAUUUAGAGGAACACCAGUGGCGAGGCGCUUACUGGACUGUAACUGACGUUGAGCUCGUAAUCUGCGAGCAACCGGAAUAGAUACCUGGUAGUCCACG
rnacentral:rRNA from 1 species